rnacentral:lncRNA from 1 species
CACCUGGUGGGACUAUACUGGAUAGUUGUAGUAAUAGUAGUAGUAGUCUCUGCAGCUCAAAACACUAUUUAUGCUAUAGAGGGCGAGCCUCCAUGCAUUGUCGCAGGGGCAUAGGCAGAAUUUAUUAUAAGCGGUGUCAGACAUUUAAAGAUGUGAUCAAAUAAACCAAUUAUUGUAAUGACAUUAAAUAAAGAUUUAAAAACAAAAUCUAUAAUAUAUGAACAAAACACAAUUAAGUACAUCACUAUAAUUCUACUAGAAAAGUUUUGUUUUUUUAAAUGUAUUACAGUAGUGUAGUUUUGGCCUUAACUAAUGGUCAAGAAUUCAAGUCUCGAAUUUUAUCUUUUUAGCGUACAAUAUAAGGGGGAAAUUUUUUCCAAAACUAAUAAUGAAUAUAUCUACAAGGAAUCGAACUCCUGAGAUCUUAUCAACGAAAUUGCAGCGCCCAACCAGGUGAGCCAGGAGAACCUUGUGAAAGGCAGUGCCUUUUUGUUUACUUGUUUUAUCUUCGCAUAUCAUUAGAUAUUUAUAUAAUACAACAACAACAACAACUACCCAGUAUACUCCCACCAGGUGGGGUCUGGG